UGGGUUGUGGCUCAGUGGUAGAGCACUUGCCUAGCACAUGUGAGGCACUGGGUUCGAUUCUCAGCACCACAU
rnacentral:tRNA from 1 species